rnacentral:rRNA from 1 species
UACGUAGGGCGCAAGCGUUGUCCGGAAUUAUUGGGCGUAAAGAGCUCGUAGGCGGCCAGUUGCGUCUGCUGUGAAAUCCCGGGGCUCAACCCCGGGCGUGCAGUGGAUACGGGCUGGCUAGAGGCAGGCAGGGGAGAACGGAAUUCCCGGUGUAGCGGUGAAAUGCGCAGAUAUCGGGAGGAACACCGGUGGCGAAGGCGGCUCACUGGACCACAACUGACGCUGAGGCGCGAAAGCUAGGGGAGCAAACAGG